UCGCAAGACUGAAACUCAAAGGAAUUGACGGGGACCCGCACAAGCAGCGGAGCAUGUGGUUUAAUUCGACGCAACGCGAAGAACCUUACCAAGGCUUGACAUCCCCUUGACAGAUGCAGAGAUGUGUCCUCUCCUUCGGGAGCAAGGGAGACAGGUGGUGCAUGGUUGUCGUCAGCUCGUGUCGUGAGAUGUUGGGUUAAGUCCCGCAACGAGCGCAACCCUUGUCAUUAGUUGCCAGCAGAAGAUGGGCACUCUAAUGAGACUGCCGGUGAUAAACCGGAGGAAGGUGGGGAUGACGUCAAAUCAUCAUGCCCCUUAUGUCUUGGGCUACACACGUGCUACAAUGGUCGGAACAAAGGGAAGCGAAGGAGCGAUCCGGAGCAAAACCUCAUAAACCGAUCCCAGUUCGGAUUGCAGGCUGCAACUCGCCUGCAUGAAGUCGGAGUUGCUAGUAAUCGCGAAUCAGAACGUCGCGGUGAAUGCGUUCCCGGGUCUUGUACACACCGCCCGUCACACCAUGGAAGUUGAUAAUACCCAAAGUCGAUGAGCUAACCGAAAGGAGGCAGUCGCCUAAGGUAGGAUCAAUGACUGGGGUGAAGUCGUAACAAGGUA
rnacentral:rRNA from 2 species